rnacentral:lncRNA from 1 species
CCAUGACUCAGCAGGAGGCUAACACAUCCAACACCAUGGUGUCAGGUAAUCUCGUCAUUGGGUGUUCUGAUGUGUAUGCAUUAAUGGACCCGGGUGCAUCUCAUUCAUUUAUUGCUCCGAGAGCCAUUGAGAGGUUGGGUCUGAUAGUCUCUGGGUUAGAGUGUCCCCUAUGGGUCAGUGGACCCAAGUGUGACCCGUCAGUGGCAGUGUCAGUCUGCCAGNN